GACGAACGCUGGCGGCGUGCUUAACACAUGCAAGUCGAACGAAGUGGCGAACGGGUGAGUAACGCGUAAUCAAACUGCCCUUCAGAGGGGGACAACAGUUGGAAAGGACUGCUAAUACCGCAUAAUGAAGGAGGGGAUUGCGUCGGAUUAGCUAGUGGGAGGGGUAACGGCCCACCAAGGCGAUGAUCAGUAGCCGGGCUGAGCGGGUGAACUGCCCCAUUGGGACUGAGACACGGCCCAGACUCCUACGGGGUGCAGCAGUGGGGAAUCUUCCGCAAUGGACGAAAGUCUGACGGAGCAACGCCGCGUGAGUGAUGACGGCCUUCGGGUUGUAAAGCUCUUUUCAUCGGGACGCGGUACCGGAAUAGAAAGCCACGGCUAACUACGUGCCAGCAGCCGCGGUAAUUC
rnacentral:rRNA from 1 species